GUAGCCCAGUGCUGCUUGAUGCAGUGGCUAAUCAGAUCGUCCUUUUGACCCUAAUUACAUUACGGGAGACUUUUUAUAUUAGUCUAGAAUUCUGGCCUGUCACGUCCGGUGUUUUGGUAUCUACGGCAAGGGUUUCAUUAGUUUUGGACAGAGUACGUUGGAUUUCCGAUCCUGUGGUGUGAGGACCGGCUGUUAUCGUCACGGUCAGCAGAUCGCCCCAGCGGGUUUCUAGAGGGCUAGUCAUGUCCUGACCCAGCUUUUACGAAUUUCUGCGACAGGCCAAGACCACAAAGCGGUCUUAAUGAUCGUUUCGAGUAGACCAACACCAUGUACCAAAGAGAGUGAGUGUGAAGAAAUCCUCAGAACAACAUUAAGGACUAGUUU